rnacentral:rRNA from 1 species
AGCAGUAGCCGCGGGAAUACGGAGGGUGCAAGCGUUAUCCGGAUUCACUGGGUUUAAAGGGUGCGUAGGCGGAUCUGUAAGUCAGUGGUGAAAUCUCCAGGCUUAACCUGGAAACUGCCGUUGAUACUAUAGGUCUUGAAUCUUGUGGAGGUUAGCGGAAUAUGUCAUGUAGCGGUGAAAUGCAUAGAUAUGACAUAGAACACCAAUUGCGAAGGCAGCUGGCUACACAACUAUUGACGCUGAGGCACGAAAGCGUGGGGAUCAAACAGGAUUAGAGACCCCCGUAGUCCCUGUCUCUUAUAC